rnacentral:rRNA from 1 species
GACGAACGCUGGCGGCGUGCCUAAUACAUGCAAGUCGAACGAACCGCGACUAAGUGCUUGCACUAAGUCAAGGUGAGUGGCGAACGGGUGAGUAACACGUGGGUAACCUACCUCAUAGUGGGGGAUAACAGUCGGAAACGACUGCUAAUACCGCAUAGGACAUAGGAUCACAUGAUCCAGUGAGGAAAGGUGGCGCAAGCUAUCGCUAAGAGAUGGACCCGCGGUGCAUUAGCUAGUUGGUAGGGUAAAGGCCUACCAAGGCGAUGAUGCAUAGCCGACCUGAGAGGGUGAUCGGCCACAUUGGGACUGAGACACGGCCCAAACUCCUACGGGAGGCAGCAGUAGGGAAUCUUCCGCAAUGGACGCAAGUCUGACGGAGCAACGCCGCGUGAGUGAAGAAGGUCUUCGGACCGUAAAGCUCUGUUGUUAGAGAAGAACAGCGCAUAGAGUAACUGCUAUGCGUGUGACGGUAUCUAACCAGAAAGCCACGGCUAACUACGUG